CCUACGGGAGGCAGCAGUGGGGAAUAUUGCGCAAUGGGCGAAAGCCUGACGCAGCGACGCCGCGUGAGGGAUGAAGGUCUUCGGAUCGUAAACCUCUGUCAGCAGGGAAGAACGGUCACUGUGCUAAUCAGCAGUGAAUUGACGGUACCUGCAAAGGAAGCACCGGCUAACUCCGUGCCAGCCGCCGCGGUAAUCCGGAGGGUGCGAGCGUUAAUCGGAAUUACUGGGCGUAAAGCGCUCGUAGGCGGUAUGUCAAGUCAAGGGUGAAAUCCCCGCGCUCAACGUGGGAACUGCCUUUUAAACUGGCAAACUGGAGUGUGUGAGAGGAUAGUGGAAUUCCAGGUGUAGGAGUGAAAUCCGUAGAUAUCUGGAGGAACAUCAGUGGCGAAGGCGACUAUCUGGCACAUAACUGACGCUGAGGAGCGAAAGCGUGGGUAGCAAACAGGAUUAGAUACCCUAGUAGUC
rnacentral:rRNA from 1 species